GCGCUUGAUUCAGCAGCAUAUAUACUAAAAUUGGAACGAUAUAGAGAACAUUAACAUGGCCCCUGUGCAAGGAUGACAUGCAAAUUCAUAAAGUGUUCCAUAUUUUU